rnacentral:rRNA from 1 species
AUUGAACGCUGGCGGCAGGCCUAACCCAUGCAAGUCGAACGAGUGGCGGACGGGGGAGUAAGGUCUGGGAAACUGCCUGAGGGAGGGGGAUAAGUACUGGAAACGGUAGCUAAUACCGCAUACCAUCAGAUGUGCCCAGAUGGGCUUGGCUUGUGUGUGGGGUAACUGCUCACCAAGGCGACGAUCCCUAGCUGGUCUGAGAGGAGGACCAGCCACACUGGAACUGAGACACGGCCCAGACUCCUACGGGAGGCAGCAGUGGGGAAUAUUGCACAAUGGGCGCAAGCCUGAUGCAGCCAUGCCGCGUGUAUGAAGAAGGCCUUCGGGUUGUAAAGUACUUUCCGCGGGGAGGCGUUACCCGCAGAAGAAGCACCGGCUAACUCCGUGCCAGCAGCCGCGGUAAUAC